rnacentral:tRNA from 1 species
CAGAAAAUAGUUUAAUUUUAGAAUUUUGGCUUUGGGAGUCAAGGGUGGAAGUUAAAAUCUUCUUUUUUUG